rnacentral:rRNA from 1 species
GAUGAACGCUGGCGGCGUGCCUAACACAUGCAAGUCGAGCGAACGGACGAUAAGCUUGCUUCUCUGAUGUUAGCGGCGGACGGGUGAGUAACACGUGGAUAACCUCCCUAUAUUACUGGGAUAAUUUCGGGACACCGGAUCUAAUACCGGAUAAUAUUUUGAACCGCAUGGUUCAAAAGAGAAAGACGGCCUUGCUGUCACUAAUAGCUGGUUCCGCGCUGCAUUAGCUAGUUGGUAGGGUAACGGCUUACCAAGGCAACGAUGCGUAGCCGACCGGAGAGGGGGAUCGGCCACAUGAGAACGGAGACACGGUCAAGACUCCUAAGGGAGGCAGCAGUCGGGAAUCGUCGGCAAUGGGCGGAAGCCUGACGCAGCGAGGCCGCGUGAGUGAUGAAGGUCUUCGGAUCGUAAAGCCCUGUUAUUAGGGAAGAACAGAUGUGGAAGUAACCGUGGACAGCUUGACGGUACCGAAUCAGGAAGCAACGGCUAACUACGUG